rnacentral:rRNA from 1 species
GCUCUCCUGGCCGUUGUCCUCGCGCUGGCGUCCGGCACGGCGUCGCAGGCGCCGGCGGCGCUGGCGUGGGACUGUGGUUCCGCGCUGACGGGCCUCACUGGCUGCCUCCCCUACAUCUCGCCGGGGUCCACGCAGGGCAAGCCGCCCAAGGAGUGCUGCACCAGCGUCAAGACCGCGCUCGCCAUCCCGGCCAGCGUCGCCUGCCUCUGCGACGCCUUCGGCAAGGACUACGGCAUCCCCAUGAACCUCACCCGCGCCAAGGGCCUCCCCACCGCCUGCGGCGGCAACCCGGCUGCCCUCAACAACGGUAGCCGUGAUCCAUCUUCCCUUAGAGCCAUCUUGUUCUGUUUUUCUUUUCCCCGUGUCGAUUUGUGA